rnacentral:rRNA from 1 species
UACGUAGGUGGCAAGCGUUGUCCGGAAUCACUGGGCGUAAGGCGCGCGCAGGCGGCGAUCUACGUCUGGGGGUGAAAGCCCGGAGCUCAACUCCGGGACUGCCUUGGAUACGGGAUCGCUUGAGGAUUGGAGAGGCAAGGGGGAAUUCCACGUGUAGCGGUGAAAUGCGUAGAUAUGUGGAGGAACACCUGUGGCGAAGGCGCCUUGCUGGCCAAUUUCUGACGCUGAGGCGCGAAAGCGUGGGGAGCAAACAGG